GAUUGUAAUUUAGCUUAAACAUCUCAAAAUUCAAGGAACCCAGAAGAAACCUGGCACUUCACUAAAAUUAUUUACCAUUAUGUAUUUUAUACCUUAUUGCCUUCAGUUUGGUGAAUAACUAUUAAUAUUCCCCAGUGGUUAAAGAAGUAGUUUAGUGAAUCUUUUACUAUUUUGUUUCUCAGAAGCAUGACUAGAAUAAUUUGGCUUAGCAAAGAUUUCACAAGACAAGAUGAAUAUCUUCCAAGGGCAAAAUUGCAAAGCAGCAUAGUUGCUAAGCUUAACUGGUGGCAUACAGACAUUCAUUUUUACCAGAAGAAAUAUCUCCCUGGGUACCAGAGGGCUGCUCCCACUGUUAGUUUACAGUGUGCCCUCUCCCCUGCCUGGGAAGGGGGAAGGCUGUCCAAUUGCAAAUGGCACCUGCUGAAAAGAAGCAGGUACCACAGACAGCUAGGGAGGGUUCCCACCCUGGGGGAAUGCAUCCUCAUCCUGCCAAUCAGCUGAUUGGUAGGAGGGGGCAUUUUCCUAGGGUGGGAAUCCUCCCAGUUCUCUGCAUAAGAAUAACCCCACUCCUUGCACUCCUUCAGGUGAACCUGGGGGACAGCAGGGAGAGGAAGAAAUGCUCAGUUGCUCUGGUAUCUCUUAUGCCUAAGAAAUUCUAGCUGAAAAAACCACACACCUGAACCUUUAAAAAUAUCUUAGCACAACAAAAUGAAAACACAAAAUGAAAU